rnacentral:tRNA from 1 species
ACCUGAGUGGCUCAGUGGUUGAGCACCUGGCUUUGACUCAGGUUGUGAUCCCAGAGUCCUGGGAUCAAGUUCCCCAUCUGGUU